UACGUAGGGGGCAAGCGUUGUCCGGAAUCAUUGGGCGUAAAGAGCGCGUAGGCGGUCCGGUAAGUCGGUUGUGAAAACUGGGGGCUCAACCCUCAGAGGCCGACCGAUACUGUCGGGCUAGAGUCCGGAAGAGGCGAGUGGAAUUCCUGGUGUAGCGGUGAAAUGCGCAGAUAUCAGGAAGAACACCAGUGGCGAAGGCGGCU
rnacentral:rRNA from 1 species